GGCGAACGGGUGAGUAACACGUGAGUAACCUGCCCCUGACUCUGGGAUAAGCCCGGGAAACUGGGUCUAAUACCGGAUAUGACUGUCCACUGCAUGGUGGGUGGUUGAAAGAUUUAUCGGUGAGGGAUGGACUCGCGGCCUAUCAGCUUGUUGGUGAGGUAAUGGCUCACCAAGGCGACGACGGGUAGCCGGCCUGAGAGGGUGACCGGCCACACUGGGACUGAGACACGGCCCAGACUCCUACGGGAGGCAGCAGUGGGGAAUAUUGCACAAUGGGCGAAAGCCUGAUGCAGCGACGCCGCGUGAGGGAUGACGGCCUUCGGGUUGUAAACCUCUUUCAGUAGGGAAGAAGCGAAAGUGACGGUACCUGCAGAAGAAGCGCCGGCUAACUA
rnacentral:rRNA from 1 species